CAGUCGAACGAGGAUUUAACGGAAUGCGAUUCGUCAAAUGAAAUUAAAUCCAAGCGGUGGACGGGUGAGUAACGCGUGGAUAACCUGCCUCACACAGGGGGACAACAGCCGGAAACGGCUGCUAAUACCGCAUAACAUGAGCAGCUCGCAUGGGCAGCUCACCAAAGAUUUUAUCGGUGUGAGAUGGAUCCGCGUCUGAUUAGCCAGUUGGCGGGGUAACGGCCCACCAAAGCGACGAUCAGUAGCCGACCUGAGAGGGUGACCGGCCACAUUGGGACUGAGACACGGCCCAAACUCCUACGGGAGGCAGCAGUGGGGAAUAUUGCACAAUGGGCGCAAGCCUGAUGCAGCGACGCCGCGUGAAGGAUGAAGUAUUUCGGUAUGUAAACUUCUAUCAGCAGGGAAGAAAAUGACGGUACCUGACUAAGAAGCCCCGGCUAACUACGUGCCAGCAGCCGCGGUAAUACGUAGGGGGCAAGCGUUAUCCGGAUUUACUGGGUGUAAAGGGAGCGUAGAUGGCAUGGCAAGUCUGAAGUGAAAGCCCGGGGCUUAACCCCGGGACUGCUUUGGAAACUGUUAAGCUAGAGUGCAGGAGAGGUAAGCGGAAUUCCUAGUGUAGCGGUGAAAUGCGUAGAUAUUAGGAGGAACACCGGUGGCGAAGGCGGCUUACUGGACUGUAACU
rnacentral:rRNA from 1 species